AUAUUACUCCCUCCGUCCGGAAUCGGUUGACGGACGCUCAAACGGAUGUAUCUAGACGUAUUUCAGUGCUAGAUACAUCCGGUUUGAGCGUCAACUGAUUCAGGACGGAGGAAGUGUGUG
rnacentral:pre_miRNA from 1 species